AUGUACAUCAUAAAUCCCUUCACCGGGGACAUCGUGGAAAUGGCCAUACUCGAUUGGGAAUACAACUUCAUGGGCUUGUCGUGGUCCUCGAUGGACCCAGAAUCUCCGGACUGCAUUUUCUUUGCCGUGAACAGCAGACAGGAUGGCAAAGCGGUCGGCGCCCUUACAUGGCGGCAUGGCGAGGCCAAAUGGUUUGAACGACAUCUCGAGUACUAUGAAGGGGAUCCAUUCUCAGUGGCAUACAACAACCCUGUCUUGUCCCACGACAAGUUCUAUUGCCUCGGGAGAAAGGGCAACCUUGGCACAUUUGACCCGGCAAGCGACACAUGGACGAUCUUGGAGAAGCCUAACCCGAUUCAUGUGGAGAUGGACCUCGAAGGUGACCACCAUGAGGGGAGAGAGUUUUGCUACCUGGUUGAGCUGCGAGGGGAGCUGGUCUCCGUGUUCAUGCGUAACGCAGACCAGCCACCGCGGGUGUUCAAGCUCAACGAGGAGGAGAUGGCCUGGACGAAGGUGCAAGACAUCGGCGGCGCGGCCUUGUUUGUUGAUUUCAGAGUGUCAUACUCUGUGGUGUCACCAAAAGCUGGGCAUGGCAAUAGGAUGUACUUCCCAAGUUAUUCCGAGGAUGGCAAACAAGCCGCGUUCUACGAUAUGGAGACCAAGGCAUACCACCCAUCCUUCUAUGGUUUGAAGUCACCGUUGCAAUGUGUGUGGGUUGUGCCUAAUCUACGGCCACACACCGUAUCAAAAUAA
rnacentral:rRNA from 1 species